UUGCUUUCAACACUACAGGCUGAUCCUACGAGCUACGACAGUUUUACCUACAAAUGUUAGCGUUUCCUGCUGCAACUAGUAGUUGAUAUUUUAGGAUGUUAUGCCUAAAAUUUGAAUUCAGCUAUCAGAGAUUAGAAAAAUUCAAGUGGAAACUCUAGAUGGCGUUGAUGUGCGUCUGUAAUGAAGAUCAUGAGUGACAAGUUACGUGUUUGUUACGUUACCCUGUUAUGUGUUUCAAAGGAUUUUUCGUCAAAAAAUUUACGAUUGCUUUUUGUAUGUGGUGGUGUCUCACCUUGUCAGCUAUCAAUGUACCACAAGGGAUCCUGACACUUUAAGAAGGCCACUAUUCCUUACAUGAAGAUCACCAUCCAGUUCAAGUACUGUUAAUGGACCUCAAGCCUUUUGUUUAAGCUUAGUGAUGUGUUCUUUCGUCAGUCAACAACAAAGUCUUCAUCCACUUUGUGUUGCUAACCAUCAGCCUUCAGCAUCCCAGGUAUCCAGAUUUCCAAGUUUAUCUGAUUAGCCAACCAUCAUCCAUACCCUUCAGCUCUUCAUUGUGGCUUCUCUUCCUCUCUUCUUAGUCUGCUGAAUGCCAACAUUGAAUAAGGUUUAUCGUCAUUGCCUUUCCAUGGUAUUUUAAUUUGGUGGAUUAUCUAGCUGCUGUUCUUCUCACCAUUACUUAGCCAGCUCACAUGGAUAGGCUUUAACAUCUCCAUUUUUUGGACUGCAAAUAUUCAUCUUCCUUCGUCGUCUUGGCCGUCUUCGCCUUCGUCUCCGUCUCGUCUUCUUGGCCGUCUUCGCCUUCAUCUCCGUCUCGUCGUCUUGGCCGUCUUCGCCUUUGUUUCAUCGCCGUCUUUUUCUACGCCAUCACUUCGUCACCGGCUUCUCCUUCGCCCUUCACGUAGGGAGUUCACCGUGGAUCGUCGUCCUGGUAUUGUUUUAUAUUGCAUUGUUUUGUUUAAGUUAACCCGUUGGCUGCCACCCCGUUUGCGUCCCAUUUUUUUUUUAGCUUGUAGGGACCGGCCGCAAUGGCCUUCGCCGCAAGGCGCCUUAGGCAAUGCACCAGUAGGGACUUCUCUUUGUCGAUGCGGUGGCGGAUUCCUGAGGGUGUGCAUUCCCUGUAAAGGAUUCCGUCACCGUGUCAGCCCGGACUUGUCUUCGGACAAGUCCCACCUUGUUCGCGAUCCUUAAGACGCGAUGCUUAGUUACUGUAGUUUAAGCAACCAACGGGUUGCGUGGCCUGGCAGCCAACGGGUUAACUUAAGUUAAAUGUAUGUAUGUUUAUGUAAAUAUGUGUGUGUAUGUUUAUAUAAAUAUGUGUGUGUAUAUUUAUU